ACGCUCGACACCUACGGGAGGCAGCAGUGGGGAAUAUUGCACAAUGGGGGAAACCCUGAUGCAGCGACGCCGCGUGAAGGAAGAAGUAUCUCGGUAUGUAAACUUCUAUCAGCAGGGAAGAAAGUGACGGUACCUGACUAAGAAGCCCCGGCUAACUACGUGCCGGCAGCCGCGGUAAUCUGAGCGGGCUGGCAAGGC
rnacentral:rRNA from 1 species